rnacentral:rRNA from 1 species
UACGGGGGAUGCGAGCGUUAUCCGGAUUCAUUGGGCUUGAAGGGUGCGCAGGCGGGCCGGCAGGCCGGCGGUGAAAGAUCCGGGCUCAACCCGGGCAGUGCCGUCGGAACCUCCGUGCCUUGAGUGUGACGGGCGCAGGCGGAACUUGUGGUGUAGCGGUGAAAUGCUUAGAUAUCACAAGGAACUCCGUUCGCGAAGGCGGCUUGCGACGUCACGACUGACGCUGAGGCACGAAAGCGUGGGUAUCGAACAGG